rnacentral:rRNA from 1 species
GAUGAACGCUGGCGGCGUGCCUAAUACAUGCAAGUCGAGCGAACGGACGAGAAGCUUGCUUCUCUGAUGUUAGCGGCGGACGGGUGAGUAACACGUGGAUAACCUACCUAUAAGACUGGGAUAACUUCGGGAAACCGGAGCUAAUACCGGAUAAUAUUUUGAACCGCAUGGUUCAAAAGUGAAAGACGGUCUUGCUGUCACUUAUAGAUGGAUCCGCGCUGCAUUAGCUAGUUGGUAAGGUAACGGCUUACCAAGGCAACGAUGCAUAGCCGACCUGAGAGGGUGAUCGGCCACACUGGAACUGAGACACGGUCCGGACUCCUACGGGAGGCAGCAGUAGGGAAUCUUCCGCGAUGGGCGAAAGCCUGACGGAGCGACGCCGCGUGAGUGAUGAAGGGCUUCGGAUCGUAAAACUCUGUUAUUAGGGAAGAACAUAUGUGUAAGUAACUGUGCACAUCUUGACGGUACCUAAUCAGAAAGCCGCGGCUAACUACGUG